rnacentral:rRNA from 1 species
GACGAACGCUGGCGGCGUGCUUAACACAUGCAAGUCGAACGAUGAAGGAGAGCUUGCUCUCCGGAUUAGUGGCGAACGGGUGAGUGACACGUGGGCAACCUGCCCUUCACUUCGGGAUAACUCCGGGAAACCGGGGCUAAUACCGGAUAUGACCUCUGCGGGCAUCCGCGGAGGUGGAAAGUUUUUCGGUGAAGGAUGGGCCCGCGGCCUAUCAGCUUGUUGGUGAGGUAGUGGCUCACCAAGGCGACGACGGGUAGCCGGCCUGAGAGGGCGACCGGCCACACUGGGACUGAGACACGGCCCAGACUCCUACGGGAGGCAGCAGUGGGGAAUAUUGCGCAAUGGGCGAAAGCCUGACGCAGCAACGCCGCGUGCGGGAUGACGGCCUUCGGGUUGUAAACCGCUUUCAGCAGGGAAGAAGCCGCAAGGUGACGGUACCUGCAGAAGAAGCACCGGCUAACUACGUGCCAGCCGCCGCGGUAA